rnacentral:pre_miRNA from 1 species
CAGCCUUCGGAUAGCUUCAGUGAACAUUCAACGCUGUCGGUGAGUUUGAGAAUUAGAAAAAACCAUCGACCGUUGACUGUACCUUGAGG